UACGUAGGGGGCAAGCGUUGUCCGGAUUUAUUGGGCGUAAAGAGCUCGUAGGUGGUUCGGUAAGUCGGAUGUGAAGUCUCCAGGCUCAACCUGGAGGGGUCAUUCGAUACUGCCGUGACUAGAGUUCGGUAGGGGAGUGUGGAAUUCCUGGUGGAGCGGUGAAAUGCGCAGAUAUCAGGAGGAACACCCGUAGCGAAGGCGGCACUCUGGGCCGAUACUGACACUGAGGAGCGAAAGCGUGGGGAGCGAACAGG
rnacentral:rRNA from 1 species